UACGUAGGCAGCGAGCGUUGUUCGGAGUUACUGGGCGUAAAGGGGUGUGUAGGCGGUCUUCUAAGUUUGGUGUGAAAUCUCCCGGGCUCAACUGGGAGGGUGCGCCGAAAACUGGGAGGCUAGAGUGCGGGGAUGGGAGAGUGGAAUUCCUGGUGUAGCGGUGAAAUGCGUAGAUAUCAGGAGGAACACCUGUGGUGUAGACGGCUCUCUGGACCGCAACUGACGCUGAGACACGAAAAGCGUGGGGUAGCAAAACAGG
rnacentral:rRNA from 1 species